AUACGUAGGGGGCGAGCGUUGUCCGGAAUGAUUGGGCGUAAAGGGCGCGUAGGCGGCCUGUUAAGUCUGGAGUGAAAGUCCUGUUUUCAAGAUGGGAAUUGCUUUGGAUACUGAUGGGCUUGAGUGCAGGAGAGGUUAUCGGAAUUCCCGGUGUAGCGGUGAAAUGCGUAGAGAUCGGGAGGCACACCAGUGGCGAAGGCGGGUAACUGGACUGCAACUGACGCUGAGGCGCGAAAGUGUGGGGAGCAAACAGGAUUAGAUACCCUGGUAGUCCACACUGUAAACGAUGAAUGCUAGGUGUAAGAGGUAUCGACCCCUUUUGUGCCGGAGUUAACACAAUAAGCAUUCCGCCUGGGGAGUACGGCCGCAAGGUUGAAACUCAAAGGAAUUGGCGGGG
rnacentral:rRNA from 1 species